GCGGGUGUAGCUCAAUGGCAGAGCAGCAGCUUCCCAAGCUGAAUACGAGGGUUCGCUUCCCUUCACCCGCUCCA
rnacentral:tRNA from 1 species